GACGAACGCUGGCGGCGUGCUUAACACAUGCAAGUCGAGCGAGGCCCUCCUUCGGGAGGUGUCCUAGCGGCGAACGGGUGAGUAACACGUGGGCAACCUGCCCUCAGCUCUGGGAUAACCCCAAGAAAUUGGGCUAAUACCGGAUACGACCGCUGACCGCAUGGUCUGGUGGUGGAAAGAUUUAUCGGCUGGGGAUGGGCCCGCGGCCUAUCAGCUUGUUGGUGGGGUAGUGGCCUACCAAGGCGACGACGGGUAGCCGGCCUGAGAGGGUGACCGGCCACACUGGGACUGAGGCACGGCCCAGACUCCUGCGGGAGGCAGCGGUGGGGAAUAUUGCGCAAUGGGCGGAAGCCUGACGCAGCGACGCCGCGUGGGGGAUGACGGCCUUCGGGUUGUAAACCUCUUUCGGUGGGGACGAAGCGCAAGUGACGGUACCCACUAAAGAAGCACCGGCCAACUACGUGCCAGCAGCCGCCGUAAAAC
rnacentral:rRNA from 1 species